GACGAACGCUGGCGGCGUGCUUAACACAUGCAAGUCGAACGGAAAGGCCCUGCUUUUGUGGGGUGCUCGAGUGGCGAACGGGUGAGUAACACGUGAGUAACCUGCCCUUGACUUUGGGAUAACUUCAGGAAACUGGGGCUAAUACCGGAUAGGAGCUCCUGCUGCAUGGUGGGGGUUGGAAAGUUUCGGCGGUUGGGGAUGGACUCGCGGCUUAUCAGCUUGUUGGUGGGGUAGUGGCUUACCAAGGCUUUGACGGGUAGCCGGCCUGAGAGGGUGACCGGCCACAUUGGGACUGAGAUACGGGCCAGACUCCUACGGGAGGCAGGAGUGGGGAAUAUUGCACAAUGGGCGGAAGCCUGAUGCAGCAACGCCGCGUGCGGGAUGACGGCCUUCGGGUUGUAAACCGCUUUCGCCUGUGACGAAGCGUGAGUGACGGUAAUGGGUAAAGAAGCACCGGCUAACUACGUG
rnacentral:rRNA from 1 species